AUACGUAGGUGACAAGCGUUAUCCGGAUUUACUGGGCGUAAAGGGCGUGUAGGCGGUCUUGCAAGUCAGAAGUGAAAUUCCUGAGCUCAACUCGGGCGCUGCUUCUGAAACUGCAGGACUUGAGUGCUGGAGGGGAUAGCGGAAUUCCUAGUGGAGCGGUAAAAUGCGCAGAUAUUAGGAAGAACACCGGUGGCGAAGGCGGCUAUCUGGACAGAAACUGACGCUGAGGCGCGAAAGCGUGGGGAGAAAACAGGAUUAGAUCCCCUGGUAGUCCACGCUGUAAACGAUGAAUACUAGGUGUAGGGGGUAUCGACUCCCUCUGUGCCGCAGUUAACACAAUAAGUAUUCCGCCUGGGGAGUACGGCCGCAAGGUUGAAACUCAAAUGAAUUGACGGGG
rnacentral:rRNA from 1 species